GCCCGCCUCUUAGUGUCGUCACAAACUCGUGACGUCCCCGCGUGACCUCACCGCUGCGGGGCGAUGGAGCGAAAAGUGAGGAAACUGAAGUCCCGGGAGAGACAGUGGCAAGGUCAAGUAGCAAAGUGCACUCAGCCCUCCCAGCAAGGAGUCUGCCACUCGCGCUUGAAGGACGUGUUUGAAGAGCUGCUUUCCCAGUGGGAUGCUGCCUUAAAGUCUUGAUUCCCUGGCACUCUUUCCUAUUACUACAUUUUAUCGGUGCUGUUUGUGUUAUGCAACGGUAGCAUCGUGUCUCCGGAAGAUAAAAAAGGUCUCGAUACAAACAUCCAUAACCUUCCACCCACUCCGUCAGGAACAACCCAAUCAAAAUAAAGUCAUGAGAAUUUAGCAUGCCU
rnacentral:lncRNA from 1 species